GCUAGCCGCUGCUUCGCCAAGUUCCCAGGCGCUGGGUGAGCACUGAGGGUAGCGAAUCGGAGAAGUUGCCCUUCGUCUCCAGCAAGAAGUGAACGGGGACGAACCAUCUUUUUUUCAAGUCCUCAAACUUCACAGUGCUUUUAUAUUUGUAUUUUUAUGUGAAUCAUUUCUUCCAAAUUGUAUGUCUGUGUAUAUAUUUCUAUAUUUAUUUAUUUAUUUAUAUGCGGAUGAUUUCAAUGUGAAUACGAGAAAGGAUUUCAUCAUCUGGACGGAGUUGAAUGUGCCACCCAGAUUUUGUGGAGCGGGGAUUGAGUCCGAGUGAGUUGAGCAUUGUGUGGUCUAUGGUGGACGACCGUGUGCUGUGUGUGGGGCUGUGAGCAACAAGUGGAUGAUGGAGCAAGAUCUAUGGAUUUAUGGACGCUUCCAAACGAUUGACGGAUAUUCCAGCUAAAGAAGCCAGUCAGCUGCGAUGUGUGAAAUCGAGUCUCUCCAGCUUUUGGACGUGUGCACUGUCGUCUCCGACACGAUUGGAUGUGGACGGACACCCACGGGGCUGCUGAAGGGCGCUUGUUUUCCUGAUGUGUGUUGCUUUUAUUGACCCAAAUGCAACCCAACUGGCAAAGAGUGCGGACUGCGUCAUCGUCUCCUCUCUACCGCCCACCGUGUGAACGUCCCCGAACCAAUUAUCACACAUCGAGGAACCAACAUCUCUCCGACAGCCAGACUACCAACGCAUGGUUCCAUUUGCUGUAAAUGCAUACAAUGAGCGUGAAACUGACGAAGUGUGGCUUCGGAUUUCUCAAGAAGGAUUAAGUUAUUGAAUUCCUUGUUGGUUGUUUGGUUUAAUUAUUUUUUUCAGAUAUUUUCUGAUUGGUGAUUGUGAUUUUGUUACAGUGUUCGUUGCCACUGGUUUCAAUCGUCUAUCGAUGUAAGAAAUAAGUAGCUUCGGUUCUGUGCUGUGAACCCUGGAUUAUGUUUCUCUGUCAGAGGCUGUGAGUAGACGAUCGAGUGAAAUGUAGCAGUGUCUGGUGAAACGUUCGAGUGCAGACUCAUCUUGUACAUAGAAGAUUAGAUUGUGCUUGCGGUCCGCUACCUGUUGAUUAUCGGGGAAAUUGUGACGUAGUUUUGUCCAAGUGUCCGCGAGAGAGGAAUGUCUCAUGUGGCUAUGGAACAAAGGUUCUGUGUUCGAUUUGGGUGUGUUGUUUCUUGAGAGAAUGUGAGAUCUUCAAACCAAUUUGUUUGAGGACUAUCUGCGGAUGCCUUUGUUGAUCAAAGUGCAUGCUGGGAGUGAAAAUUUAGAUUAUUUGAUUCCCAAGUGUACAAGGGAAUCCAUUUAAAGAUAAUCAUUUACAAAAUUCAACACAGCAUUGUGUGGUAGAUAAAUCAUUCUUGCCUUUGCGGGAUAGUAUUUGGAGACUACUUUUGAACAGAAUCCAGAUGUCAACGGUUGAUUUUCAAACCGGAUUAACGUCUCCGAAAAGACUCGUGGAAAAGUUUCUUUUUGGUUGUUGAUGUAUUCAGAUACGGUGUUAAUGGUGUUUUACGAUCUGCCCUGCACUUUAGAGAUGUUUCUUUGAAUACGUGGGAGUACACUGAUCUACGUCACUAGUUGCGUGGUCUGUGGAGACGUAUUGUGGAAAGUAUUGCUUCUUUGACAGACCUGUGUGUGAUGUGUUUUUCUUAAGAGUGUUCCUGAAAUCUGAUUUUAAAAAAAACAGAAAAGAAAAACUGCAGCAGCCGGAGUGUGUGUCCGUGAGUGUGUGGUGGUUGGUUUGUUGCCUCGUGGGUGCCCCAUCCAUGCGUGGCUUUAUCUAUGUCUGGGACGAGCUUGGUCAGAGCUCUUCCUUCCUCCAGGGCUAGGGGCUGUGAACUAUGCUGGCCCGCUGCUCUGAGCAUGCGCGAGCUAUUUGUCGGCUGAGCGUAGCUGAAGUGAGGCGAGCGACGCCGUCUGUCUUCUCCCUCCUCAUGGUGGUAUCCUUGCUGUUGGCGGACGGAAUUCUACCGGUGAUCGCCACCAAGUACAGGGCCGUCCCGCCUUCGGAAGCGGCUGCCUUGUACAUGAGCAAACCCGGCGCUCGUGGGACUGUUGGUGGUGGAAGGGUUAAUGGCGAACACGGAGUCACUGGUGGAAAGAGGGUUAAUGAUGGUGAUGGUGGGGGUGGAAGAGGUAAUGGUGAUGGAGGUGGGGGAGGAAGAGGAAGAAGUGACGCAGGGGGAGGAGGCGGUGGUGGUGGUGGUGGCUUAAAUAAUCGAGGUGGCAUUAUCAACAACAGUGGUAGUAGCAGCAGCAGCAGCAGUAGCGGCAGCAGCAGCAGCAGCAGCCGUAGUGGCAGCAGCUCACAUCACAGGACUAAAGUGCGUGUGAAGACGUUUGUCAGCGCAGUCGAAGGUGGUGGUGUUGGUGGAGGAGAAGGAGGGAGUGCUGUCGGGGGUCAAAGGUCGGGUGUGAGUGUCGCAGGCAUCCGGACACGUAGCGGGGGCGUUCUGGUGGACAACGCUAAGCACAUGCGCUCACAGCAUCUCCGACUCCAGUUGAGCGGGGGAGGAGGAGGAGGAGGGGGAGGAGGUGUUGGAGACAAGGAGAACAAGUUCACCACAAACAUUGUGUCUUUGGGAGAGGAGGGCCGGCCUGAUCAGGGGACGCGGGAACGUCAGACAAACUAUAUCAGCCACCCACGUCGCAAAGGGUAUCCGCAGGGCGGUUCUGCUAGUGAACAUUCACAACUCAACUCAAAACCAUCCUCACUACCUUCUUCCUUGUCCUCCUCCGCCUCAUCGUCAUUGUCGUCUUUGUCGUCGUCUUCGUCGUCGUCGUCUUCAUUAUCGUCUUCAUCCUCUGCAUUGUCAUCUUCAUCAUCGUCGUCGUCUUCAUCAUCGUUGUCAUCUGACCGCAGCAACAACCACCACCACCAGAACCGGGACGUCGGGUACCCCUCCCUCUCUUCCUCCUCCUCAGCCUCCUCCAAUCACAACCAAAAGGGCGUGGCCUCUUCCUCAUCAGACCACGCCCCUUUCCCAUCCUCCUUAGACUGCAGCGCCGCCCGAGGCCGGGCGCUGAUGUCAAACGACGACAACAAUAACGACGACGAUGACAAUGUGGACAACACGUGUCCGGCCAUCCCCAAGCUCUUCCUGCCCCACUCCUGCCGUUCCUGCGACACGCUCAAGGCAGGACGACAGUGCCUGCCUCUCACAGACGACCUGGCCAAGGCCGUCUGCAGCUGCCAGACGUCAGACCGUGACGUCAUCAUUCGCAAGUCCCGCCUCCGCUUCUGCUCCUCCUUCAACACCGAAAAUGUUUCGUGCGCCUCGGACUUCACAGCCAGCCGGAAGGAGUGCCCUCUGGUGGACAAAGACCAGAAGUCCUGUUCGGAGUACCUUGACCGGAUUAUUAAUGAUGACCGAGAAGCCGAGAGGAGGUACCAGGAUUUCAUGGAGCUCAUUGGCCGUUACGACUGCAACAGCAGCUAUUCGGUCAAGUGGGAGUGUGAGCACUGCAAGGUAAGGUUUCCAGACUUUGUUUGUUAAAGCCGUUUGCUUUCUUAAUUGGUGGGCGAGUGUGUGUUUGGCUAGUUUGUAGAGGGCUUAUUAAAAAUUAAAGGAAUGUAAUUGGGUCUGCUUGGUGAAUUAGUUCAACAUGUU